rnacentral:lncRNA from 1 species
GACCACAGUAGUGCCCAGGUCACGAUCCGUUCUAAGGGCAAAAGCAGCGGCAGAAAAGUCAGGGGCGGGUGCUCUAGGAGAGAGGGAGACCUGAAACGGAGGAUCCGGAGCUGGCCGACCCCAGACUGAUUCUCAACAGGUGGCUGGGGGGCUGCGUAGAGGAUUCGGCAGUUUCUCGGCCACAAGGACGGAGUUUCCUAAGAAGGGAAAGAAGAGUGCGGGCAGAGAGGAGAGGUCCGAGGGGGAAAAGAGAGGCCUGAGGACGCUCUGGCGGCUCCAGUACCAAGCCUUGUGAUCAGAGGAGAAUCGCCAGGCUGAGGGGGAAGCAAGGAACAUAUGGACCCAAGUAGGAUCCUGAAAGAAUUUCGAGAAGCUCCGAGCCCAAAUCAUACAGGCCCUAAGUAUUGGUCAAUCACCAGGAGUGAAACAGAAACUUAGACCACACACUCAAGUCCUGUUUCUGAAUGAGGGGCUCAAGUGCUAGGCCACAAGUGGCCGCUAUGGAUGCUGCAUUGUGGAGUCCCACCUGAUCCCUCCUUCAACCACGCACCUCAGACUGCAAGGAGAGCUAGAUGAGAAGGAGCUGGGGCUCUUGCGAUCUGCAGAGGCAGCACGCUGGUCAGGAAGAACCCAGAACACCUGCCUCAGACACAGCCAGUCUGUCCACACACAAAAGGCAGGGCUGAGGGGCUAUUAAGUCAAACCUGGAGUCACAGCCCCAAUGUCCUCAGACAGUCCCCAACCCUCUGCAGCAAUGUGGACAUGUGUCAGUGUGGCUGAAAAGCUUCUUCUCUGAGCUUUAACAACUUUCUGGUGUAACUUCUGAGAGGGCUGAUUGCUUAUUCAUGUGGAAGCAAGACGCCCAGUCCGUUUUGCCUGUUUUUGCUACUCUUUGUUGUCUCGGGGGGAGUGUUAUGGUAGCUGCAAAUGGCUUCUCCCGUGACAUUUGCUGACAUUCAGUGAAGUACAUUUAUCAGCGCUCGCGAGCUCACCUCCGCACAUGCAAUCCAUUUUGUUUUGUUCUUCAUGGUAACCCCCUUCCCAACACCCGUGCCCUGAAAAUGAUGAAGGGCAGGCGGCGCAUUUCUCAAGCUGCACUCAAAUGUCACUGUGAAAAAUCUUUAAUGGACUAAGUGUAGCUUUUCACGUUACAACUUGUCAGGUACUGAGAAAUUCUAGAGUUUCUCCUUAAUCCACGAGUCAUUGGAACCACACAUCUGCAGGUAGAGACUAAUUAUAAGCUGUACCAGUCAGAACUGGGCAAGCAGAGACCAAGGAGAAAACAUUAGGUCUCAGUUAAUUCUUUAUUACUAUCAUUAUUAUUAUCAUUAUCAUUAUCAUUAUUAUUCUCAUUCCACUUUUUUGCUACUUCGUCUCCUACUCAGAGAAUAUGCCAGGUAUGAGCAAUCUGUUACUCUAAUUAAUUGAGUGACAGCCCCCAACUAGCUCUCCAUGCAGGCUUACCGUCUCUACGCACUCAGCUUUCUCAGUAACAUUUUUCAUCUUUCCCUCCAACGUAUCUGACUCUGAAUCAUAAUCCUGGUCCCUUAGGGUUGGCCAUGACGGAGCCGUUGAGAGGAACUGAGAUGUGUCCCAUCUCCUGUCCACCUAGUUAUCCCUCAUCGGAGGGCAUGGCAUUGGAGCCCAGAGAUUCACAUCACCAACGUGUAAGCCUGCAUUUUCCUCCCUUGCCCCGCACCUGGUCGGAGCAGUGCCACCCACACUCACAGUGGUGGCCUACAGACUCCCUCUAAGCCUUGCAUAGGGUUUGCUCGGUCUGGUUUUACCCCUUUGAAUGGACUCAGCUCAGUGGUUGUUCUUCAUGGGUGAAUCAGCCCACACUCUAAUGGCCAUGGCUUCUAUGUUCUGCCCCUGCUUCUCGGUUCACAGGCAGGAACCUCAUCACCCAUGUGUUACUGUUACGAUGGGUUCUCUGGAAUGCUGCUAGCUCAUUCAGGUGAAACCAUCAUCACCACCAUCAUCAUCAUCAUCACGAUCAUCAUAUUCUAUUUAUAUGAGCACACUGUAGCUGUCUUCAGACACACCAGAAGAGGGCAUUGGAUCCCAUUACGGGUAGUUGUGAGCACCAUUGCUCACAAUUGCUGGGAACUGAACUCAGGACCUCUGCAAGAGCAGUCAGUGCUCUUAACGGCUGAGCCAUCUCUCCAGCCCUGCAGGUGGAAUUUUAGGAGCAAGCUUCAGAGAGAUAUCUUGUUCCCUUCCACAAUGUAAACUAGAAAGUAGGAUCUCACAAACAUGGACUCUGCCAGGCUCGUGACCUUCAAACUCUAGAACUGUUCAGAAUAAAAUUCUGUUCCUUAUAAGGUA